AUUACGUGGCGGCUCGAAGGUUGAAGGCAAAAGGGGAGCGGAGGCGAGAGGAACCUCUUAGCUAGGUUCCGCCGAAGCCCCACCCACUGCGCAGACCCCGCCUCCCACCGCAGGGGCACGCCUCCUACCCCCACCCUUCGCGGAUUGAUCCUGCUGGCCGCAGCCACCCACGUGGUGGAAGCCCGGCCCUGCAGGCUGGAGAGGAUUUGAUUAGACUACGCGUUUCGACUUGCAGGGUGUUUAAUCGUCGCCAAGCGGGACUUACUGCAAGCUAUCAAAUCUGAGGUCUUAUUUUGUUGAGUCGAAAGUGAAAUUUUCCUUUGGCCAACGUGACAGGGCUUUGUUUGGUGGUAAAAAGGGUUACUAGACACCCCUCAUUCCACUGCCACUGGAGGGCGCAUUUCUCAGCUCUUGCUCUUCAAACCUGCUGAAAGGAAUUCCUAGAUCUAAACACCAGGUACACCUCUAUUUUCAAGUGUCGUCAGGAGGAAACCCAUCAAACCCUACAUUUAGCUUACUAGAGAAAUACAUUGUUCUGCUGUGUCAGUUUGGCGAGUAACAUAAUGUUUCGUUAUUAACUCUCAACCCCUGUGUUUUCAGUUUUUUUUUUUUUAACAUGAAAAAUUGUCAUUUUCUCUAAUUGGUAUGCCUGUUCCUUUGGCAGUGAGGUUGUCAGUACACAUGCUUCUGGAAUAGUCUUGUAAAUUUCUUGAGGCUAAAAAGCACAGGUCUAGUUAGCUAACUGACUCAUGCACCUCUCCCCUUGGAUUCCCCACAGGUCUCAGAUUCAGCAUUUAAAAUUGAACUCGUCAUCUUUCCCUGCCUCCCUUAAAGAAAAAAAGUCAAUAUGCUGCUUCUACUGUGUGCGUGCCGUGCUCAGUAGUACCACUGUCCAAAUAAUUGCCUAAGCUAGACAGAGGAAGCUGGGAAGAAUCUUAGACUCUGGCUUUCCACCCACACAUGUCCAAUCAAUAGUCAUGUCCUAUCAUUUCUAUUUAU
rnacentral:lncRNA from 1 species